rnacentral:rRNA from 1 species
GUGCCAGCCGCCGCGGUAAUACGGAGGAUGCGAGCGUUAUCCGGAUUUAUUGGGUUUAAAGGGUGCGUAGGCGGACUGGUAAGUCAGUGGUGAAAUACUGCAGCUUAACUGUAGAAUUGCCGUUGAUACUGUCAGUCUUGAGUAUGGUUAAGGUAGGCGGAAUGUGUAAUGUAGCGGUGAAAUGCUUAGAUAUUACACAGAACACCGAUUGCGAAGGCAGCUUACUGAACCAUAACUGACGCUGAGGCACGAAAGCGUGGGGAGCGAACAGGAUUAGAAACCCUCGUAGUCC